rnacentral:rRNA from 1 species
CCUACGGGAGGCAGCAGUGGGGAAUAUUGCGCAAUGGAGGAAACUCUGACGCAGCAACGCCGCGUGGGUGAAGAAGGUCUUCGGAUUGUAAAGCCCUGUCGGGAGGGAAGAAAAGCACAUGGUGAAUGUGUCUGACGGUACCUUCGAAGGAAGCACUGGCUAACUCCGUGCCAGCAGCCGCGGUAAUACGGAGAGUGCAAACGUUGUUCGGAAUUAUUGGGCGUAAAGGGCGCGUAGGCGGCUUGGUAAGUCAGAUGUGAAAGCCCUGGGCUCAACCCGGGAAGUGCGUUUGAAACUGCUAAGCUUGAGUGCAGGAGGGAGAGGUGGAAUUCCAGGUGUAGGAGUGAAAUCCGUAGAUAUCUGGAGGAACACCGGUGGCGAAGGCGACCUCUUGGCCUGAAACUGACGCUGAGGCGCGAAGGCGUGGGUAGCAAACAGGAUUAGAUACCCUGGUAGUCCACGCGGUAAACGAUGCUCACUGGGUGCUGGUGGCAGACGCUGUCAGUGCCGUAGCUAACGCGAUAAGUGAGCGCGNGGAGGACGGUCGCGAGAGUAAACUAACGAAGAAGUAGACGGCGUGAGACGAGACGACGGACGACGACGAGGGAGGAGG